GCCUCGUGGUGGGGGAUAGCCGGCCCAACGGCCGGGUAAUACCGCAUAGGGUAGUUUCUUCGCAUGGGGAGACUAGCAAAGCCCUGGAGCAAUCCAGUGGCGCCACAGGGGGGGCUCGCGGCCUAUCAGCUAGUUGGGGGGGUAAUGGCCCACCAAGGCGACGACGGGUAGCUGGUCUGAGAGGAUGGCCAGCCACAUUGGGACUGAGAUACGGCCCAG
rnacentral:rRNA from 1 species